rnacentral:rRNA from 1 species
CGGCGUGCUUAACACAUGCAAGUCGAACGGGAUCCCUGGCAGCUUGCUGCCGGGGUGAGAGUGGCGAACGGGUGAGUAAUGCGUGACCGACCUGCCCCAUGCACCGGAAUAGCUCCUGGAAACGGGUGGUAAUGCCGGAUGUUCCACAUGAGCGCAUGCGAGUGUGGGAAAGGCUUUUUGCGGCAUGGGAUGGGGUCGCGUCCUAUCAGCUUGUUGGUGGGGUAACGGCCUACCAAGGCGUUGACGGGUAGCCGGCCUGAGAGGGCGACCGGCCACAUUGGGACUGAGAUACGGCCCAGACUCCUACGGGAGGCAGCAGUGGGGAAUAUUGCACAAUGGGCGCAAGCCUGAUGCAGCGACGCCGCGUGCGGGAUGGAGGCCUUCGGGUUGUAAACCGCUUUUGUUCAAGGGCAAGGCACGGUUUUUGGCCGUGUUGAGUGGAUUGUUCGAAUAAGCACCGGCUAACUACGUGCCAGCAGCCGCGGUAAUACGUAGGGUGCAAGCGUUAUCCGGAUUUAUUGGGCGUAAAGGGCUCGUAGGCGGUUCGUCGCGUCCGGUGUGAAAGUCCAUCGCUUAACGGUGGAUCCGCGCCGGGUACGGGCGGGCU